rnacentral:rRNA from 1 species
GCUUGAGUCAUCAGCUUGUGCUGAUUAUGUCCCUGCCCUUUGUACACACCGCCCGUCGCUCCUACCGAUUGAAUGAUCCGGUGAAUAAUUUGGGCUGUAGCAAUGUUCAGUUCUUGAACAAUGCAAUGGCAAAUUUAAUGAACCUUAUCACUUAGAGGAAGGAGAAGUCGUAACAAGGUUUCUGUAGGUGAACCUGCUGAAGGAUCAUGU